rnacentral:rRNA from 1 species
GAUGAACGCUGGCGGAAUGCUUAACACAUGCAAGUCUUUCGCUAAGCUGUGCUUGCGCGUCCUAGCCAAGGCGGACGGGGGAGUAACGCGGAAUGAACUUGCCCUGCAGUCAGGGAUAACAUACGGAAACGACUGAUAAGACCGGGUAAAGUCAGUCGGACUCAGUUCCAGCCUGAUGGAAAGAGAUGCUGCAGGUGCGCCUUGCGUCCUAUUACCUUGUUGGUGGGGUAACGGCCCACCAAGGCGAUGAUAGUUAGCCGGCCUGAGAGGGUGGACGGCCAUAAGGGGAAUGAGAGACGCAGAUUCCUACUACGGGCGGCAGCAGUGGAUAAUACUGGAUGAGGGCGACCACCAUGAUGCAGCACUUCGGUGUGGAUGAUGAAGGUUUUCGGAUUGACAAGUGCUUUCAGGAGCGAAGAUAAAAAUGACGGUACCUGCAGAAGAAGCGACGGCUAACUACGUG